rnacentral:rRNA from 1 species
UACGGGGGGGGCAAGCGUUGUUCGGAAUUACUGGGCGUAAAGGGCUCGUAGGUGGCCAACUAAGUCGGACGUGAAAUCCCGCGGCUUAACCGGGGAACUGCGUCCGAUACUGGGUGGCUUGAGUCUGGGAGAGGGAUGCGGAAUUCCAGGUGUAGCGGUGAAAUGCGUAGAUAUCUGGAGGAACACCGGUGGCGAAGGCGGCAUCCUGGACCAACCCUGGCACUGAGGAGCGAAAGCCAGGGGAGCAAACGGG